GGUUUCUCCAAAGAUAAUGAGUUAUCUCAGUUGCUUUUUUACAGUCACAGAUGGAACUCUUUGUUCUACUCUUCCCCCUUUCACUACUGAACUUGACUUGUCUUUA
rnacentral:Y_RNA from 1 species